rnacentral:lncRNA from 1 species
GUAGGUUUCAGCAGUUUGUAGAGGCAGCUUCAUCACUCGUACCAGAGGGGUGCCUUGCUCUUCUGGAGGCUCUCUGCAGACACUGGGAUGGCUGCUGCAGGGCAUCGCGAACACAAGAACGUGUUUGUUGCACAGUGGCUUGUCAGAUCAUUGAAAUCUACUAUAGUUCAUUUCUGUUUAAGGAUGCUGUAAUGGGGAGCAUGCUAGCAAUAUGGUUUGGUACCUGUGUUACACAAACUACUUUGUAAGGCUUAGAGAUGCACACCAAGUGGGCUGUGUGUCCUUUUACCUGUGCAUGUCAGUUUUCAGAGGGUAAAGAAUAGAAUCUGUUACUCUCUGAAACGUACAGUGAACGUUUUACUUCACUAGAGGACUCCAUAGAGAAAAUUAGAUGUGGUGCUGAGUAGAAAUUGUAUUUCCUUGGCUGAUUGGUACAGUGAAACUUCGCAGUGAAGAUCACUAAGCAAGCUGGAUAGCGAAACUCCAGUAAAGCUCUAACUGAUUCUGAUGGUCUUCUGUCUAGCAGCGUUGUCACUUGUUUCAGAUCAUCUGCUACUUCCUUAAUAAAUAUUUCCAAGAUUCAGGUUAAAAUAAUUAGAAUAUAUUUAAAGUUCAAGAAAGAAUGCGGUGUUCAACUAUAAAUUUUGAUGCUCCACGAUAUACCAACUAGUAGAAUCACAUAAUAAAAAUCUGGUAUGGAAAUGUGUAUAAUCGAAACCAUGCUGUUGUAAUGCCGCUCUGUGUCAAGUGUUCCUUCUCCCUGACCUCAUUAGGUGUGCCUAGUCAUUAGAUACAGUGUUACUAAAGAGUUUUAACUUAAAAGCGGCUUUGAUUAAUGAUUGAUUGCACUGAAGUUUAACUGUGUAGGAUUAACCAGAUUUAAAAAUGGCAAAAUGCCAUAGUAGCAUUAAUGCCAGACUUUAACAAGAAGCAGAAGUAAACUCCAAGGACCCUUAUGAUUUUCAUAUGGACUAAACUCAUGUUCUCAUUAACUUAAUGUCCUGUCCUGUUCUGAAAGCUAAUGUUCUAAUAAUUCCUAGAGAAUAGUAGCUUAGGCAGCACAUUACAAAUCUGUAAUCCUCAUAUGUUUAAUGAAUCAUACAUUUUGAUAAUUUUAAUAUUAGGCUCAUUCAACCACGUUCUGUCACUGUAGUUGGAAAGUAUGUUUUCACAUUUUUGUGUUGUCUGCCAUUUGAAUUUUGUUUUAAUAUCUUCUUAUUUCAGUUUUCCUGAAGGUUUAGAGUUGGCAUCGCUACAGCCUAAUAUCCUUAUUUUUUUCUCAAUUGAUCACAUAUUUCUUUAUAUCAUACUGCCAAGAAAAUGCCACCAGUCCCACUUAAAGCACUAUUCAGUCACCUGAAAUCCUACUAAAGUACAUAGGAUUUAAAUAUAAUGUAAUAAAAUAAAAGAUCAUGUAACGCUGAAUUGGGUCCGUUCUGUCUAGCAUUUUCUCCAGUCCAUGGGAUCUUUGCUGAGUUAAUCAAAAUUCAUUGAUUUAUUAUUGGAGCUGAACAGGAAGAAAGUUUGUCAUUUCAGGAAUCUGUUAAUUCUUUUUGCUGCAUUGAUCCUGAUUUGAUGAUUUGGGUUAUUUUUCAGUGAGCUUCUAGUCACAAGAAGCGUGUAAUGAAACUUGUGUUUCAGCGUAGUAACGCACUGUGAGAAUUAGGCACUGUGUGUUAAUAAUUAAUAAUAGCAGUUAUUUACAGAGGCAGCACUCUUUCUGCCAAAGCAUCCAGCCAAAUGCUUGGGCUGCAAUGCCUAAUUUCUCAUUGAAAUCCGGGAUAUAUUAGACUUGACUUAAAUAGGAUUACUCACUCAAGCAAAUUUACGCAAGUGUAUAAGGCAUGUAUCCAGCUUGUAGUGAGUUAGGAGUCUACCUACUUGUUUGGCUCUGGGCCCUAGGCACUUGCAUAACGUUCCUUGCAUGAAUUAUCCCAUUAAACCAAGACCCGCGUAAACACUGUUACUCAUACCAGCAACUCUGUGUGUGUGGACAAGUGCUGACAGUCCAGGAUCUUGCUUCCUCUUGUACCAUAUCAGAAGGUUCUGUUUUCACUAAUGAUCAGAGUGUAUUAACUAAACUUUAUAUUUGCAGUCCAUAUUGGUAAUUCCCGCGCCACUGAGGUUUUUGACUGCAUUCUAAUACUGCCUUUGUAUUUUUUGCUUCAUUGACUCAGUGAUAUUUUUUUCUUUCUUUUUUUUUUUUUAGGAAGAAGGGCAACAAAAACAAAGGAGAAGAAAAAGAAGAAAAAGAAUUUGAUGGAGAGGGCUCAGAAGCAGCACAGCAUCUUUUUAGCUACAGACAAAACAAGCCAGUAAAGACUUGAUUUAUUUUUUUUAAUAUAUUUUUGCAAAGUGCACAAAAGCUGCUAUAUGCUCCUGCCCAUGGAUGCACUACGAUUCAGCUGCUUUAACAGUAUUGGUGGCAAAUAACUUGUGAAAAGAAGCCCACAAGCUUGUUUGUUUUAUUUAUAUAUUUUUUUUAUUUUAUUUUUUCCUCUUAUUUUUGGACCUGAAGACUUCAAGGUCAGGAGCACACUGAGUUGAAUCAGUGGAAGUGGUGCUGAAGUGUGUCAAAGAUUUUGUACUGAGUGUUUGGUCAACGUGUUGACACUGAAUGGAAGCAGGAAAGAAACCUAUGUAUCACCAUUAGGCGGACUUGUGCAUAUUUAAAUAUAAAAAGGAAGUCUUGGAGGUGUAGGUACUAUUGCAUUUAUGGCCUUUGUCUCCUAUAUGUGUACAUUUCAAGAGUAAAUGGAUAUGACUCACAUACUUAGCAUUCAGAUGCUAGACUACCUUGUACUGACCCUCACAAUGGAGUGUCAGCUCUGAAGUAUACUUGCCAGACUGGUAAAAUGCAAUUCUUUUCUGCUCUUCUUUACUCCUAUCUCAGCCCUAGUGUAUUUUGUCUCAGAAAAAGUAGGGUAACUUUUAAAGGUGAGGCAUGAUGAUAGAUGUUUUGAGCGUCAGGAAAGAAAUUUUACAGAAAGUUCUUGGUAUCUAAGAUUGUAUAUGUAGUUUUUCAAAUGUAAUGCACAGUGUUUUAUUUCUGUUAGUCCUGAUCCAGUCAGAUACAGCAACUGAAUACCUGAAUAGGGAGAAACAAAAGAAAAAGCAGUGUGUAAUCAGUCAUUCAGCAGUAUAGUGAGCACCAGUCAGUUUCCCAGUAUUGCCAGUUACUUGUUGAAGUUUAGCAAACUUAACCUGCAUCUGGGUUGGGGGAAGGUGUCUUUUUAAGUAGCUAAAAUGGCUCAGGAUGUGUAAUUUGGUAUCAUUGCAUUAUCAGGCUUUUAUUCAAGGAGACUUUUGAAUAUCUUCUUGGAAAAGCCCACAACUACAAUGCCUGCCACUUAUGCUGUCACUUACAGAAGUUAUAGUUCUAGGACUAAAACUUGCAUCACUACCUGCUCAAAGGUGUUUUGUUAAAAAUUGUUUAUACUUAAAUUUUGACAGGUCUGGCUAAGAAGUUAAUUCUAUCAAAAGGAUCUUUUCUAAAUCUAGGACUCUGUGAAUGUUUACAAGGUCUGCUUCUAUACUCACUUCUGAGCUAGAAUAAUACAAGCCCCACUGCUAUGGGCUCCACCAAAAGCCCUCUCUCUAUAUUUUCCACUGUGGCAGUUAGCUAACUGCUUGAGGAGUACAUCUCUCCCAGGCACGGGUAUUUGGCUUUAUUUACACAAAAGUGAUUAUCUGGAGCCCAUCUUCCAAGGGUAGACACUUAGCUUAGUUAGUAUUUGAGUGGUUUUCCUCAUCUCUUUUGUCCUUCUGAAAUAGUUUGUAAGUGGGGUCUCUGCAAUCACUUGCAGAGAACUGGGGAGUGGAGAGGAAGAAGGCUGCUUAAAUGUUCUCUCACUGUGAUCCUAGUCAAUAAAGCUUCUGUAUGACCUGGUUUAAACUGUACUUGUGUUACCAGGCACAUGGAGUCCUGAUGUUCUCAAACAAAGGAAAAGACAA